rnacentral:misc_RNA from 1 species
UCCGAGUUGACCCCGGCAGUCUCAUAUGAGUUCCCACCAUGACGUGCUGGCAACAUACGACGAGGGUUGCGCUCGUUGCGGGACUUAACCCAACAUCUCACGACACGAGCUGACGACAACCAUGCACCACCUGUGUAGGGCCCAAAAGGACACCGCAUCUCUACGGCUUUUCCCUACAUGUCAAACCCAGGUAAGGUUCUUCGCGUUGCCUCGAAUUAAGCAACAUGCUCCGCUGCUUGUGCGGGCCCCCGUCAAUUCCUUUGAGUUUUAGCCUUGCGGCCGUACUCCCCAGGCGGGGUACUUAAUGCGUUAGCUUCGGCACGGAAUCCGUUGAUAAGACCCCACACCUAGUGUUCAUCGUUUACGGCGUGGACUAC